rnacentral:rRNA from 1 species
AUGCCUACGGGAGGCAGCAGUGAGGAAUAUUGGUCGAUGGGCUUACGCCUGAACCAGCCAAGUCGCGUGAGGGAAGACUGCCCUAUGGGUUGUAAACCUCUUUUGUCAGGGAGCAACGCCGGCUACGUGUAGCCGGACUGAGAGUACCUGAAGAAAAAGCAUCGGCUAACUCCGCGCCAGCAGCCUCGGUAAUACGGAGGAUGCGAGCGUUAUCCGGAUUUAUUGGUUUUAAAUGGUGCGUAGGCGGAAUGCCAAGUCAGCGGU